rnacentral:tRNA from 1 species
AGGGAUAUAGCUCAGUGGUACAGUACGUGCUUAUUAGCAUGCACAAUGUCCUGGGUUCAAUCCCCAGUAUCUCCA